rnacentral:rRNA from 1 species
UAGGGAAUAUUGGUCAAUGGGUGAGAGCCUGAACCAGCCAUGCCGCGUGCAGGAAGAAGGCCUUCUGGGUUGUAAACUGCUUUUGCCAGGGGAUAAAAUAGCUUUGCGAAGCAAAUUGAAGGUACCUGGUGAAUAAGCCACGGCUAACUACGUGCCAGCAGCCGCGGUAAUACGUAGGUGGCAAGCGUUGUCCGGAUUUAUUGGGUUUAAAGGGUGCGUAGGCGGUUCUAUAAGUCAGUGGUGAAAUACUCCGGCUCAACCGGAGAGGUGCCAUUGAUACUGCAGGACUUGAGUACAGACGAGGUAGGCGGAAUUGACGGUGUAGCGGUGAAAUGCUUAGAUAUCGUCAAGAACACCGAUAGCGAAGGCAGCUUACUAGACUGUAACUGACGCUGAGGCACGAAAGUGUGGGGAUCAAACAGGAUUAGAUACCCAGGUAGUCCCUGAGCGGGCUGGCAAGGCGCAU